CAAAAUAUAAUUUAAAUAAAAUAUUGAUUUUGGGGAUCAAUUAUAGAAGUUAAAUUCUUCUUAUUUUGA
rnacentral:tRNA from 1 species